AUGGGCAAUAGGAGCCAUCUUAGAAUGGCUGCCAAGACUCUUAACUUGUGAACAAAGGAAAUAAACUGCCCACCGAGGACAUAUAUGUCUCAGAACGACAGGAAGGCCCAUUCCCAGCUGCUUUGCCUCACAAUCUGGAUUGCCCAGCUUCCUGGACUUCAGCAGAGUAUAACUCCUGACCGACAGUGGUGUGAAUGGGAUCAGGACGAGUCUACCAGAUAAAAGAGAGCUGUACAGCAAAGGGGCCAGCCCAAAUGAUGACAUUGCUGAGGUUCAAUUUAGAGCUCCUACAAUAUACCAACGCUAGAGAGCAAAGUCCACCACUUGUCCACAGCCCGCUUCCAGCAAUGGUGGAGGUGUGCUAUGAAGGGUUAACCUUCCCAAGGCGGUUUAAAGCUACCCCACAACCUGCAAGAUGCUAUGCAGGGCCACACUUUCUCCCAGA